rnacentral:rRNA from 1 species
AAUGGCAUUGCCCGGUAGCUAAGUGCGGAAAAGAUAAGCGCUGAAAGCAUCUAAGCGCGAAACUUGCCUCAAGAUGAGUCUUCCCUGGGCCUUUAAGGUCCUGAAGGAACGUUUAAGACUAAGACGUUGAUAGGCUGGGUGUGUAAGUGCAGCGAUGCAUUGAGCUAACCAGUACUAAUGAUCCGUGAGGCUUAACCUUACAACACCGAAGGUGUUU